AGAUUGAACGCUGGCGGCAGGCCUAACACAUGCAAGUCGAGCGGUAGAGAGGUGCUUGCACCUCUUGAGAGCGGCGGACGGGUGAGUAAUGCCUAGGAAUCUGCCGAGUGGUGGGGGAUAACGUUCGGAAACGGACGCUAAUACCGCAUACGUCCUACGGGAGAAAGCGGGGGACCUUCGGGCCUCGCGCCAUUAGAUGAGCCUAGGUCGGAUUAGCUAGUUGGUGAGGUAAUGGCUCACCAAAGGCGACGAUCCGUAACUGGUCUGAGAGGAUGAUCAGUCACACUGGAACUGAGACACGGUCCAGACUCCUACGGGAGCAGCAGUGGGAAUAUGGACAAUGGCGAAAACCUGAUCCAGCCAUGCCGCGU
rnacentral:rRNA from 1 species